rnacentral:rRNA from 1 species
CCCUUAGACGUCCUGGGCCGCACGCGCGCUACAAUGACUUGCUCAGAAAGUUUUUCCUGGCUCGGAAGAGUUCAGGGUAAUCUUUGUAAUACAAGUCGUGUUAGGGAUCGAUCUUUGCAAUUAUAGAUCUUGAACGAGGAAUGCCUAGUAAGUGCAGUUCAUCAGGCUGUACUGAUUACGUCCCUGCCCUUUGUACACACCGCCCGUCGCUCCUACCGAUUGGGUGUGCUGGUGAAAUGUUCGGAUCGGCCGUUUGUCGCGGUUUCCGCGUCAUGUGGCUGAGAAGUUCAUUAAACCCUCCCACCUAGAGGAAGGAGAAGUCGUAACA